CCUCCAUCUGCAACUGGAUCCUGGACUUCCUGACGAGCUGCCCCCCAGGUGUUAAGGAUUUCGUUUCUGAAACAGAAGUCCUCUGCCUUGUGGCCAUCUCUGGCACCCCUGUUGCAUUUUUCAGCCACAGGGGACGCUGUCGGCUGCGAGAAAAUUUGUGCAGGAACGUUUUGAAAGGAGGUCAGUGUUUAUUUUGCAACUCAAUUGCAUCUUUGGUAAGGAUACAGUGAGAUCUGUCUCUGUGAGCAAACGUUUCUAAAUGUGUUCAUGUUUCAGUCCACAAACAAAUCUAACCCUUAAUGUCUCCAAACUGGCAAUGCUCAUACAGUUUCUUCAACUCUGCUGCAUAUGUAUUAACACCCUUGGGGGAAAAACUCUUGCUUGGUAGGUGUUUAAUCUCUAUUCCUGUAGUGUUUUUUACCUUCUAAAUGGAAUCAAGCCCCUGCACUUUACACUUCAACUUAAACUUGGUACCCUGAACUAACUGUCACAAGAGACUAACUUCAACAGGACAGCAGAGAUGCUAACUAUCCGUCCUGUCCUCUGGAUUCCAGAUCUCUCUCCAGUACAAUGACAUUGGUGCGUGGAAACAGGUGUUUAGUGGCACUCUGAUCAACACUGAUUGGGUUGUCACGGCUGCCCUCUGCAUUAUGUACUGAACACAUCAACACAAGCCAUACAACACUUUGGUGGCCUUACCUUACAUAAACACAAUAUCGUUUGCACGUGUAAUAGCCCUCAAUAACAUUUGGUGCCAGUAGAUGUUUGACUAUUCAGUAGCUUAGCUGUGGUUGGUUACACAUGUAGCAGUAGCAGGACCUACAGAGUAGAGUUGGGCAAGCACAACCUGAAAGAGACUGAGGAGGCCUCAAUACACAAGCUACAGUACACAUCAGGUCUAUCUAUGACCAUAUGACUAUUUCAAUAUGAAGCAACAACAGUAAUUCCAACCAAAUACCAGCAGCAGUAGUUUGUUCACUGCACCAGUAAACACUGACAGUAACAAUACAAUCACAGCUAGCACACUCAAUUACCAGACUUACUAAACCUACUGUUAAUUUUGGAAGAUCGCUGUCAAACUAUACGUCUUUAUGUGUGUAUUGGGAGCUCAUUGGGGGUUAUAACCGUGUGUCUUCUGCAGUAAUGACAUUGCCCUGAUCAAGUUGGAGACCAUGUGACCGUCACUGACUCCAUCAUGGCUGCCUGUCUUCCUGAGGCUGGCUUCAUCCUGCCCCACAAGGAGCCCUGCUACAUCAACGGCUGGGGACGUCUCUACAGUGUCUGCACCUCUUCUGCAUUUUGUCUGUGUGGAAACCUAGUUUAUAUGUUUCCCGGUCCAACCCUGUGGGUACUAUGGUCCAAAAACUCUUACCAAGCUGGAGGCCCCUUCACCGACAUCCUGCAGCAGGCCCUCGUGCCUGUCGUUGACCAUGCAAGCUGUACACAGCCUAAAUGGUGCAGUGUCCUGACCACUGACAUGAUGGUCUGCACUGGAGGAGAUGGCAUCGUGGCCCGGUGCAACAGGAGUCAUAACAAACCCGUGUUCACCUUGAAAAAUGUUUAUGUCAAAAACAUUUGAGAAUAAUUACAUUGGGGCAAAAAAGUAUUUAGUCAGCCACCAAUUGUGGAACUUUUUGGUAAAAACUCAACUCGUCGUGUUUGGAGGACAAAGAAUGCUGAGUUGCAUCUAAAAAACAC